CAGAGACUGCAAGCGUUAUUCGGAUUCACUGGGCGUAAAGGGUGCGCAGGCGGCCAAGUGUGUGAGGCGUGAGAGCCUGGAGCUUAACUCCAGAAUUGCACCUCAAACUACAUGGCUAGAGCAUUGGAGAGGGUAGCGGAAUUCACGGUGUAGCAGUGAAAUGCGUAGAUAUCGUGAGGAACACCAGAGGCGAAGGCGGCUACCUGGACAAUUGCUGACGCUCAGGCACGAAAGCGUGGGGAGCAAAAGGGAUUAGAUACCCCUGUAGUCCACGCCCUAAACGGUGCACACUAGGUCUUGGCGGAUUCGACCCCACCAGGGCCCAAGCUAACGCGUUAAGUGUGCCGCCUGAGGACUACGGCCGCAAGGCUA
rnacentral:rRNA from 1 species